ACGUAGGGGGCAAGCGUUAUCCGGAAUUAUUGGGCGUAAAAAGUGCGUAGGUGGUUUUUUAAGCGUGAGGUGAAAGGCAAUAGCUUAACUAUUGUAAGCCUUGCGAACUGGAAGACUUGAGUGCAGGAGAGGAAAGUGGAAUUCCUAGUGUAGGGGUGAGAGGAGUAGAUAUUAGGAGGAGGAACAGAGGCGGGGGGAGCAAACAGGAUUAUAAGUGAGAGUGAGGCAGUAAAGCGUGGGGCGCAAGGAG
rnacentral:rRNA from 1 species